CGGGGCGUAGCGCAGCCUGGUAGCGCAUCUGCUUUGGGAGCAGAGGGUCGCUGGUUCGAAUCCGGCCGCCCCGACCA
rnacentral:tRNA from 4 species